GUCAGACCAAGAUGUAACCAAGACCACAAAUGUAAUUGAAAUCCUAUGUGUCUACUCAAAUCCCACUGACCCUAUCCUAGGAUUAAGAAGUUUUGAACUCUGUGAACUAGUGAGUAGACAUCUGCAGCAUUGUAUUCACUAAUCAUUGGAAGUCCAGAUCAGCCUCACUAUGGCUUUUGAACCUUGGUAUACACUGCCUUUGUGUUUCCAGUAUUUAUUCUCCAGUUAUGAGGACUAGAAACAUGCAUUUUUACAUUGUGUUUUGGUCCUGGGAACAAAACUAUAUUCUAAGUCCUGUUUAUUGCUGGGAAUGAACAUCUUCACCCCCAUAAUAAAGCACAUAAUAUAGUGAGGCCCCCACAAAAAUAAAACUACCAAGACCCACUGCAGCGGCAGAAUCUAACCAAAGUCAAAAAUAUAUUCAAAACAUCCAUUAACCAUUUAGGGUUGCUGUUUGCACUUCUGUAAUGGAACAUAUGAAAAAGCAAGUCAGCAGCCCAUCUUCCUGGCAAAAACUCACAGAACAAAUUGAAUGCAACUCUGAGCCAGAUUCUAUAUUUGUUUACUUAUUUGCAUCUUCACAGCAAUUUGCAAAAAAGCUUCAAAUUUUCAAUUUAACUUGAGCCAAGUUUCCCCACCCAAAUGAGUUGCAUAAAUGUAAGCAAAAAGAGAAUUUGUCCAUAUAGCAGUCAGUCAGUGAUGCAUUUCAAACAUGCAGCACUUUAAGAAGCAGCUUCCAAGUUCACAUUCUUAUAAUUCAUGCAGGGAAGAAGCCAGAAAAAUAGUCUCUAUACUGAGACAUGUGUCUGGGAAAGCUCUUGGAAGAUUGCCUUCCAUUCAGAAAUCUCAGAUGGGGCCGAAACCACACGCAUGCAAUUGGCUGUUGUAGUUUUUUUUAAUGGACAAGUCCAUUAACAUUUCAUUUAUAUCCCACCUUUUCCCCAAGGACCUCAAUAGUUCUGCACUCCCUACAACACAGCAUGCCUCUGAGGUAGGUUAGAGAAUGACUGACCCAAAGUCACCUAGUGAGCUCCGUGGUUUACUAGGGAUUUGGCCCUGGGCACACCCCACCUAAUCUGAUGCUCUAAUCACUAUGCCACGCUGAUUCUUAAUAAACGUUAAAGAGCAUGGGUUGGGCAAAGGAUUCUGUGAAGGGAAAAGAGAUCCAGGGAUUAAAGGAUGUGUGAGAUGGGCAAGAAAACUGUAGUCUUCCACAGUCUUCCACGGCCACAGAAGGUACUGUAUUCCCCAAUAACUGGCUCAGUGGUAUCUCAGUUAUACAUUACUCAGUGUCUUUUAUAUCACUGGCUGCAUCCACAAAACAAUACAUACAGUAUCUUUAUAUUAUAUUAUAUAUUUGUAAAUGACUUUGAGGUUUUUUACAAUCAAGCAGUGCAUAAAUUUUAUGAAACAAUAAAAUAAUUUAUCCGACUAUAUAUCAUAAUAAAAUUGUAAGGCGUUAUCAUGCUGUUUUCAUUGGCUGUUUUCUAAGAAGUAAUUCCCACAGAGUUCAGAGAGAUUUACCCUCCUUUAAAUGGGUACAGAAUUUGAAUUUUCUAAUGAUUCCUAGCAUGGAAGUUGUCUUUUGCACAGCUGUCGUGCGCUGGUUCAACAUGAGCUAUCCACUACAAUCCCAAGGUCUCAUUCCUGGUCGCUCACUACCUGUUGAGUGCCCAGUUCAGGGUAUAUGUAAAAUUAAGAAAGAUUUUGCCCUGACAUGCAUCAUUUUACACUUGUUCACAAUGAAUUCACUUUGCCAUGUUACCAACCAUUCACUCAACACGGAGAUGUCUUUUUAGGACUCUUCACAUUUUGUUUUAAUGACCCUGAACAAAUUAUUAUUGGCAGUUCACAAUAUAAAAAUACAGGAUAAAAGCACAAAUUUAGUAUCGCCACAAACUUGGCCACCUCACUGCUCACCUCUAACACUAGAUGGUUCAUGAACAAGUUAAAAAGCACAAGUCCCACUACUAAUCCUUGGAGAACACAGGACUCUCCAUUCAGAGAACUGUCCAUUUAUCCCUACACUCUGCUUCCUGUUACUUAACCAAUUCCUGAUUCACAAGAGGAUUUCUCUUAUUCUGUGAUGGCUAACUUUAUUCAGGAGUCUUUUGUGAGAUACCUUGCAACACAAUCACCUCUGUUGACACACUCAAAAAACUCUAGUUACAGGUAGGUAGCCGAGUUGGUCUGCCGUAAUCGAAACAAAAUAAAAUUUAAAAAUUCCUUCCAGUAGCACCUUAGAGACCAACUAAGUUAGUUACAGUAUUGGUAUGAGCUUUCAUGUGCAUGCACACUUCUUCAGUCUCUAAGGUGCUACUGGAAGAAAUUUAUUUAUUUAUUUAUUUAUUUAGCUUCAAAAAACUCUAAAAGGUUAGUGAGACAGGAUAGGAUUCCCUUGCAGAAGCCAUGGUAGCUCUGCUUCAGCAAGGCUUGUCCUUCUAAAUGCUUUGUUAUUUUAUCUUUAACAAUACUUUCCAGCACUUUUACGUGGAUGGAUGUUAAGCUAUCUGUUUAUGUGCUAGUUACUUGAGAAAAUCUGGAAUGUGUAUGUAUAUAGUACAAAUAUAAUCUUAUAAAUAUAAUAAUGCAUGCAAUAAUGCAUGAACUGUUUGCAUUUUUAGCAGAACUGGGGUGGGUGGGAGUGAGUUACUUCUCAGUAAGAUUGAAAUGAGAAUUGGGGGGAGGGGGAAUCCCUAGUAAAGGGUUGUGUGGAUACAAGUGAUGGCAUGCCUGAAGAGUUAUAAAGAAAGGAGAGCGUUAUAUAUAAUUGCUCACUUUUUUGGCUUGCAAAAAGUAGUACACUUCAAAGGCUCAAAGCAAAGGGCUUCCUAUGAAUCUUAUUAAUUAAUUCAAAUCCUGUCUUAUUUUCUAAACUUCAUCCCAACUGAUGGCUCACACAUUGCCCCAUGCUAAGAACAAAAACGUCACUUGCAGGCAUGCCUUCCACAUACACAAAUUAAUAUUUAAUAAAAUUAAUGUGCCUGCUCAACUAUUGCGGUUUCUGGAAGCCUCUCUUUUGCUUUUGCAAACUUGCAGGAGGCAACCAAUAAUAGAUCUAUCCUUGGAUUCUUACUGGUUGCCUAUGAUGAAUUUCAAUUUGAGAAGCUGAUGAGAAGGUUUUCUGUGAAUAUGUGCAACAGUGCAUCCAGGGACCGUUUUGUUGGCAGAAAUGUAAUAAUGUGCAACAAAAGACACAGGAUGACAAAACGUUAUCAGUUUAGAUGCCUUGUACGGUAGGUGAAAAGUUCUCGCACACUUGAGAGGUUUCCAUUUCCCCCCCACCCCCAAAAUAAAUUUCAUCUUUUAGUCCUAGACGGCUAUUGGAAACCUAAAUGUACUGUGCUGUAAUAUAAAAUAAAAAGAGAUUGGCAAAAAAGAUUAUAUUUAAUCUUUAUGUUUGCUUCCCCCAAUCCAUUGCUAAAACAUUUGGGAAAGUUAAACUAAAAUUAACUUUUGCAAAUUUUAGUGAAAGAAAAACCAUUCACAACAACGCGAGAAGCCAAAAGCAACUGAAAAUGUUUCCAAGUGUGCAGAAUCUUCAGCUUCAAGUCAAACACAGUAAGUGCCCUGGCAAGAUAUGUAUAUUAUCUUUGUAUCCAUCUAGAACUGUUUCAGGAAGAAACUGCAGAAAAAAUUAUUUCCAAGGCUCUCCUGAGACUGACAGCCAAUAACAACAUUUAUGCACUUGUGGUCCACUUCCUUUGCAUGAUGGCACCACCCAAGAAUUCACAUGUAGUAUCAUUUGUUUGAAAGUGCUUCUAACAUUUAAAAAAAGCAACAACCCUAUCUUGCAUUCAUCACUCACUCUCUCUCUCACACACAAACACAUUUUUGCAGGUGCAACUUUUGUAUAUAUUAACAGAAUAAUCUAAUAAAUUGGUUAAGAUACUUGCAUAUGUAAUCACAUCUAAUGAAAUGUGUCAUUCUUUUAUCCAUUUAUAUUUAACUAUUCACUAUAUAGCUCCCCGCCCCCCAAAUGGGGUGUUAGGGGAAGGUUAGUACAGUGGUACCUCAGGUUAAGAACUUAAUUUGUUCCAGAGGUCCGUUCUUAACCUGAAACUGUUCUUAACCUGCGGUACCACUUUAGCUAAUGGGGCUUCCCGCUGCCACAGCGCAAUUUCUGUUCUCACCCUGAAGCAAAGUUCUUAACCCGAGGUACUAUUUCUGGGUUAGCGGAGUCUGUAACCUGAAGCAUCUGUAACCUGAAGCGUCUGUAACUCGAGGUACCACUGUACCUCUGGUGAGAGACUUGUUGUGCUGCUUCUGGGGUAGUUUGUCCACCUUGAUCCCCAUCCUGCACUUGGUUCUCACCUGUGGCUCCUAGAAGCUGUCAGCAUGUGACAGCAUCCACACCCCAGGAAACAGCUUUGACUGGAAGGCUAAACCAGGUGAGGGAACCGAUAGGUCUCAAACCCUCAGUGAGUUAGGGACUUCCUCUGCAUGUGAAGAUAGGCCCUGACAGGUUGAGCAGAUGAGACCCAUAGUGGGUCCAAUGGUCAAGAAGGCAGUUUCUGAACAUGCUGUAGAGGGAAGAUGGGGCUCAUCAAACUGGGAAGGUAGCCCAUCUAGGAAAAGAAAAACUCUAAUCCUAAACAUCAGAUGCCUUGCGGCUAUACUCAUUCAUGAGAAAGGCUUCAGGAGUAAAACCCAAAGAAAAAUUCAUACCUUGCAGGACGUCUUUGAGAGGAGUAAACCCCACACAAAUCCAGAGUGGGGUCCCUAAGACAGCUGGAUGGCACCUUGUAUGUCUCCUUCCAGCAAUUCCUGAAGCCAAGCUUGUGCCAAACACAUUGCUCUGCUUUCUUUGGACCACAUCAGCAAGGCCGGGGGGUCUUGUCAUCUGGGCAGCCCACCAGGACCUCCACACACUCCCCAAAGAGGUGUGUGGAGUACUCCCCAGUACUACUAACACAGAAAAAUAAAAUGCAGAAGGCAGCAGUUCCAAGUUACUGGUCUCUAUUCCACAGCAGGUGCUGUUAUUUGGCUUCACCCCUGGAGGUGCACUCCAUUGUCGAUGCCGAGUUUGAUGACCCCUGAUAUAGCCCCUCCACAAAAGUCUCUGCCCACUGGCUUACAGUUUAAAAAACGCAGUGCAAAGAAAAGAGAGAAAGGGAGAAGGAAAAUACAAAAUUGGGUGCCAAUUGUUAAAGUUAAACCAUAAUUCUCUGUUCAAGAGCAAGAUUUCUAGAAGUUGUUCAAUUUUGCCAAUCCCCAAAGAUUGAGGUCUUGGCUGGGGAGGGUGGGGUAUAAAUAAAUUAUUAUUAUUAUUAUUAUUAUUAUUAUUAUUAUUAUUAAAGAUUAAUCCAAAUUUGGGGGCGCAUUUCCACUCCAAUGGCAUACUUCAGCCCAAUGGCAUUUUAUAAUGGCAAUAUAGCAACUUGUUUCUGUGCCUAAAAGAAACACAUGCUAAUUCCCAAAUUGCAUUUCUUUUCUAGAAUCAAAGACUACGGGGAUCAAACUUGGAACCUUGGCAAUAUCAGCACUAUGUUCUAACCGACUAAGCUAUUCAGGCUGAGGCUGCUGAGUUAUUGUGUCUUUUUAAAAAAAUAUUUUUUAUUAAAGAUUUUCUUGAUUUACUAGUCACAAGAGCAGUUCGCUCGAUUUUCCUGUCCUCACUAGACAAAACUACCAAAUGUGGUGGCUGUUGUGCGUAUGCUGUUUUUUUUACCCUUGAAUCAGAGGUGUCAGUUCUGGAAAUCUGCAAUAUUUGUCACCAUGAAUACUAUUUAACUGCAGCAGUACCCAAAGGAACUCUGUAUAGCCGCCUGUGAAUACGACUGGAGGGACUUAAUUAAUCUUCCUGUCACUUCCAUGAUGCUUUUCAUUAGUUUAGCUGCUAUCUGAUCAACUGGCCCUUUCUCUAUUGGAAAUGGCUUUCCAGAACCUGUUUCUGCGGCAUUUUCAAGAGGUAAACAAAGACUCACCUUUGACGGGAAGAGUCUUUGCAAGUCUUAGCCGUGCAGACUUUAUCAGUUCAAUUAUAGUUCUUGCAGCAGUUAUAUCUGCAACAAUGCAGGGUUUUCAACAGAUUUGAGAACUAGGAAAAUAACUAAUAUUGAAAGAUGUGGAGAAUUUUUUAAAAAGUCAAACUAAUAUCAUUUCCCCCAUCUUAAUUUCAGAUUAAAUAUUUUGCCACAUAAAGUAUCUUCCCCUUAAAAACACUACCAAAAUUCUCCUUUUCACUAAUUAUGCCUACUAUAUCUUCCACUCCAAAUUCAGUCAAUAUUCAUGGGAAAUAAUAUUCUUUAGGAAUGGGUAUUGAUCAAAAAUGUGUAUCAGAUGGUGAUUUUACUUAAUGUGCUGGUAACACUGGUAAUUUGCUAAUAUGGCUGUCUCAUGGUUCAAUGUGAAUCCAAAUGUAUUUUUACCUGUUUCACACAAGCAUGCAGCAAUCUGUCAACACUGCUCAUGCAGAAUAUGACCUUCAUCACUGCCUGUAGCAUCUAAGGGCUCCACAAUCAUUAAUGGAUGUUUAGUUUCCCAAUGCUCCUGUAAGGUAGAGAAGCAUUAUCUCUGUGGUGCAGAUGACUGACUGAUGCACAAAGCAGAUUAAAAACAGUGGCAGGCAACACCAUCGUUUAACUCUCUCAAGCCCUUCAAAACAACUCCACACAGAGGAAUGCUGUAAGGCAGCACAAUAAACCCCAGGGAUAGAGAAUUCUCACAUGUGAAGCGUCACUUGCCUUUGAGUACUCUCGCAUCACACACGGUGCAGACCCAAUGGCAGAACCAAUCGGAUGCUCCUAGCAGUGCACCUGCACAUUCCUGCCCUGGUUGUUACCCUACCUCACCCCAACACCAUCCCAGUAAGCAACAGUGAUAUCACUGUGGGAUGCAGCGUUCCCCACUGCCCACUCUUCCAGGCUACAGUCCUGGGAAUAAUUUGCUUGGAAUAAGUCCCAGGAAGCUUCCAAUAAAAUACACACAGGAUUUCGCUUUUUAUUUUCUCAGCCUUCAAUCAUGGGUUAAAAAACCCCCAACAACUUCCAGGUGUUAACCUUGGACAGAAAAAGGUCAUUUCCAAAUAGAAUAUCAUAUUAUAACCAGCACGCUUGCCUUGAAAAGAAAUAAAGGCAAAGAACCAAAUUCUGCUAAACUUACUAUCAUUUACUCUAGACGAGAGUGAGAUUUUAAAAAAUAUUAUUUUGUAAACACCUAGGAUUAACUGGUUUUCAAAAAAAAAAAAAAAAAGAUUGUGGGUUAUAUGUCUUGUAUUAUGCUACUAGCUAUCAAAACUAUUCCCAAUUCACUUAUAAAGAAUUAACUUGCGAAGGAGAGCUUUUUCUGCGCUCCCACCUUUUCAUCUGACUGACAGAGCCUUUUGGCCUCUAAUUUUGACAGUUAAUUUGCAUAGCCAAAUACUGGUCUAUGUCUGGGCACCACUGUCUACUUAUAUUCUUUCCUGCAAUUCUCUUUUGAUGUUCCAUGACUCCAAAUUUAAUUAUGACUCCUGAAAAUACUCGGCCACUAUUUUUGUCUAUUCAGUAACUCUAUCCUCUUUGCCUUGAACAGAUUAAAAAGUAGGACUUAAACGUGGUCUACCUAACCCUCACUCCCUGCGAUAAAUUAGCUUCACAAUUUAUCAGUUAAAUACUAUGCUUCUUGACUGCAUGAUGAGCAACAUUUUUAAUCACUAGAAUGAGAAGCCUGGUUUUUCAGAAUGUAUCAGAAGCUCAUUCUCUUUCCCCUCUCCAUCUCUCUCUCUCUCACUGUCUGCGAAGGAUGGUUGGUUGCUGUUUCUUUAAUGGGAGCUAAUGAAGAGGAAAUAGAUGGGAAUCUGUGUGUGCAUUCUUGAAAGAGACACACUUCAGAACACGAGGAAAGGGACCUGAAAGGGACCAGGUAAAGAGCAGAGGGUAGUUACCCAGGGUGCAUAUCAGAUUUGGAUGAAUCCAAAGUCAAAGCAGGGUGCCUCAGAAGGCUUGUCAUGGGUGAAGCAGGAUCUCUAUGAAGCAGCAUGAGUUGAAGCAGGGAUCCCUCAAGCACUUUUUGGUGCCUCACAUAUCCAGGUUUCAAACAAAUGCUACAGGCAAGUUUCUGCUAAAAGCAAAAUUAAAUGUCUUUAAGGUUACCAUAAGGAAGAAAUACACUAUUGCUUGCAAGAAGCAGCAGUCAUUUCUGCAGUUACUGAUUGUGACUGUUCUACUACUUCUUAUUACUCACUGUCUCCCUGUGUUGUCUUCACUGACACAUCAGUAUGAUCAGAGGGAAUUGUUUUACCCAGGUUGGAUCUAGACACAUCAAAGAAGCGUUUCAGUUAAACGCAUUGUAAACUUUAUACGAGAAAUCGGGUUAGCAAAAACGGAACUCUUCAGCGCCAUCUGGUGUCACAGUGUUAUAAUAAUAUACAACGCAUAUAAUGCACUUUUUCUUUGCCAAUGUAACUGAGUCCCCAGAAUGUGAAUUUCUUUUAGUUCCUCCCUGCCCCCCAUAAGCUUUUAUAGGUGCCUAGCACAAAAGUACCUGAAUAUAUUUGUCUGUGAUUUGACAUUUUUGUUUUGUUUCUUUACCAAGGAACAUUGUUCUCAUGUUUGCAAUUCGCCAACAAAAAGAAUGGGGGAGAUUAAGUCCCUUCUUUUUUACCUGUCCCAAAUCUGUAAAGGUUGACCUUGCAAGAAAACCACUUCUAACAUUUGACACAAUUUAUUCCCUCAGAAAUGGUGGCUUUGCCUGCAGAUUUCAUCUAGGUCUAUCCCAAAAUAAACAUAAGUUAUAUAUGUUUCCUUAGAAAACGUUUAAUGAUACCCAGGAUAGCAAAACCUGGACCUAUUCACCUGUAUUUUUGCAGGUCUUAUUCAUUCUGGAAGGGGUACUAUGCCGACAAAUUUUAUCCACUUACGUAAUACAAUAAAAAAUGUUAUAGCCAUUUCCCCUCAAUAAUUUUCCAGUAAUGGAGUGGGGAUAAUGCAGACACAGAAGGACCCCUGAGACAAAAUAGCCAGGCUGCUCUUCAAACACCAAUUCAGGGACUGAACUGAAUCUUCUCUUUGGUGCACACAUCAAGUAUGCAUGCGCAAGUGUGCAUGAAGAAGCACCAGUUUCACAGUUUGGAACAGACAGAGGCAUAGAGAGAGAGAAAGUGCUGAGUUGCUAAACAUACAUUGUGUGUGCAGGCCCUCUUUGGAGGGAUAUUACAUUUGUUGUGAACCGCCCUGAGAUCUACGGGUAUAGGGUGUUAUACAAAUUUAAUAAAUUGUUGUUGUUGUAUGUGGUUAUGGAUCUUCUCCAUUACAUAAGUGCCUCUUAUGCCUCCACUUUUACUUUACUUAUGCAAUUGUUUUAAAAAAUGCAUUUACAUUAUGUUACAAAAUAUUACAAAAUUACCAUUUAUGUCUAGUGCUCUUGCAGCCAAAGGGGGGAUAGGUAGCACUGGCCCUAAACCUAUCACCACUUUGGAAACUGGAGAGAAUGCAACAGACAGACAGAUGAUAGCUUGAUAGAGGUCUUAGUGAUGUUGCUACAAAAAAAAUUCAAAGGAACAGAUGGGGAGAGACCAGGAACUCAGGAACUCACCAAGACAGUAGGUAAGUUACUCUAUUUGAUUUUUUUGUUACCGAAGUACGCUACAGGAUCCUGCCCUUGCUGGAGACCCACAGAGAUGAAAUAGAUUGCUUGCCUCUUCUUCCCUUUGGCAAAUGACUGUACUGUUGAAAUGGCGACGAGAUCGCACUGGCCUAUUUAUUCUGAAUGUUUGUAGGUGAUGCC